rnacentral:rRNA from 1 species
GAGUGAACUAGCUAACUGAAAUCAUAAAAUCAUUAAUAGUGGUGGUAUGAUAACGUAAGGAAAAAUAAUGAUAUAACCUUACUAUUAGUGUUGUCCAAAGUUGGUGCCAGAAGACUCGGUAAGGCCAAAGACGCAAACGUUAAUCGUCCUAAUCAGGCGUAAAGGGUAUGUAGGCGGCUUUAAAAGUUUUAUUUAUAAUAGCUCUUUUUCUUUCCUUCCCUAGGUUAACUAAGGUUAAUUCACCAAUCCUCUUUCCUUUUCUUUUCUCAAAUUAGGAAAGGUCAGGAUAAAUAAGGUAGGUUGCUUCGCCAUAAAAAUAAGAAAGAUAAUAUAAAAUGAAUUAAAGCUAGAAUCAUAAAGAGGAUAAACCAAAUAAUACUUAGAGUAGGGAUGAUAUCUUUAGAUACUAAGGGGAAUACUAACGGUGAAAGCUUUUUAUCUAAUAAUGAUUGACGCUGAGAUACGAAGGUGAGAAUAGGAAAUAGGAUUAGAUACCCAGAUACCUCUCACUGUCAACGAUGAAUGGUGGUUGUUAGUAAUAAUAAAACUAGUAACGAUGUUAACACGAUAACCAUUCCGCCUUGCGAGUACGGUUGCAAAACUGAAACCAAAAAAAUUAGUCGGUCUCGGAGCAAACGAAGUGAAGCAUGUUAUUUAAUU